UACGUAGGGAGCGAGCGUUGUCCGAAGUUACUGGGCGUAAAGCGCGCGUAGGCGGGCUUGUAAGUCGGCUGUGAAAGCCCGGGGCUCAACCCCGGAGGGUCGGCCGAUACUAUGGGUCUUGAGGGCGGUAGGGAGAAGUGGAAUGGCUGGUGUAGCGGUGAAAUGCGUAGAUAUCAGUCGGAACACCGGUGGCGAAGGCGGCUUCUUGGGCCGUUUCCUGACGCUGAUGCGCGAAAGCUGGGGGAGCGAACGGG
rnacentral:rRNA from 1 species